rnacentral:lncRNA from 1 species
GAUCUUUGAGCAUACUACAUUGAUCGCCACUACAGGUACGCAUUUCACGAACACCAGCGAUCUGAUCCACCGCAAGAGGGUGUUCUUUUCCAGAAAAGUGGUUGGAUUGCCAACCCGUGAGCCCAGGGGCUUUAUUGCGAGAGUAUAUGCUUCUGACCCAGGGGCUUCAUUGCGAGGGUCAGGUACAGGUUGAGCAGUGUGGCAUGGGCCUGAGGUCUUCGGACCAAUAGGGCAGCGAGAUUGGGUACUUUUGAGGUUAUCGUCAGUUGACGCAUAUGUCUAUAGUAGCAGUCGUUGCAUGCAUAUUUACAGUUCUUACUUUAUAGUUGUCUUGCUACUAUAGUAGAUAUUCAUGUAUGCUUUCGAUUUCAGUUACAGUAGCGGUAGCCGUUAUUCAGUCUAGUUCUUACUUUCUUUCAGUUUAUUACUACUGUAUUCGGUAUAUCUGCUCAUUAUCUUACCUAUCUCUUUCGUUUAUUAUUGUUGCUACUAUAUUUCCACUGACCCGUGUUGUUGUAUAACUCUUCCUGAUCCGGUGAGUACUCCUCGCCUUCUUCGGCUUGCGGUACCCACUGGGAGGGGAGAUAUGUUUACAUGUUCUCACCUCCCCCACUAUUUUUCAGGUAUCGCGGGUGGUGAGGGUUGAGACGAGAAGUGAGAUACGUAGCGGUUGAUAGAGCUUCCGACUCAGGUUAUUUCGGUUUAGUUAUUACCCCUAUUAUUUCUGUUGAUGUAUAGUUUAGUUAGUUUAUGUGGUUCAGUAUUUCAUUACGUUAAAAUAAAAGGAUUUCUGAAUUUUGUAAAAUAAAAGAUUUUCUACCCCUCGUGGUAGCGUUUUAAAAGAUAAAAGUUUCUGUGUAGGGAACAGUUUUCAAAAGGUUUUCUGUGGAUUUUGUAUCUUAAUAUUUCAAAACAUGUUUCUGAGUUGGAAAUAUUUUAACUGAUAGAUGUGGAUUUAUGUUUAAAUAUUGAAUAUAUAAAUGUGAACCUGUGAUGUGAAUGGUGUAUGAAUAUAUAAUUGUUGGUUAUUUGUAUAUUCAUUUGGUUGUGGUUGUACCUGGGUUACAUCUUGUACUUGUGCGACGCCGUGCAAAUACAGGGGAGGCUCUGUCCGUGUGCACAGUGGAUUUCCUGUAUUUGUGGCGGAUCUGACAUACUCUGGGGUCAGGUUUUCAAAAAAAAAAUUCAGACGCUUUUCCGCUAUCUUUUAAACUGAAAGUGACCCCGGGGCGUGACACAUGAUCUAGUAGUAAAAUGACAUCCUUGAUGAUUGACUCAUACAUGACAUAUUUUAGUAGAUAACCUUGAUAUUGGUGAUUUUAUAGUUGGUGACACUUGUAUUCAUACAGGACAUGAUUUGACAUUAGUUGACUUUAUAGUCAGUGUCACUCGUAUCCCUAUAUAACAUGACUCGACAUUAGUUGAUUUCAUAGUCGGUGAUAUUUGUGUUCAUUCCUGAUAUGCUUUGGCAUUGGUUGACUAUAGCUUGUACGGCACUGAAGGAGUCUUAGACAGGAUUACUAACCCGAGUACUUCAGUUGCCAGCCCAGUGGAAGGUGAGGUGUCAUAGACAGGGUUCGCCAUCCUGAGUUCUCACCCCCAGACUUGAUAUACGCCGCGCUUAAACAGAGUUAGCGAUUUUGGGUGCGGGUUGAUAUGUCCCUCUUGAGUGGUACUUGAUUUGCGGUCCUUGAGACCUAUGGGCGAGCUUAGGCCAAGUCUUCAUGACAGGCCACAAGGAUUGGCUAUAUUUUGGAUUUCUCGUAUGUCUAGUUGAUGCAUACUUGCACUUUGUUUUGUAUUACAGUAGUGGCUAGUUAUAUUCCUCUGUACUGUUGUUUACCCCUGCAUCAUUGCGACUGUAAUUAUGAUAUUUAUGUAUGCAUUCUAGUCUAUUUUACAGUAGUGGUAGUUACAUGUUCUAUUACUGUUCCCUUUUCUUCUGGUAUGAUAGCUACUGUAUUUGUGACAUCUACUUAUGACUUUGGUGAUCUCUUUUUGCCGGUGAGUAUUCCUCGCCUUCGGUGGCUUGCGGUACCCACUGGGAGGAGAGACAUAUGUAUAUGUUUUCACCCCCCACCCUCCAUUUCAGGUGACGUCGCGAGUCCGAGUCGGGACGCUGCGUGAGGAGCGUAUUUUAGCGAUCGAUAGCGCUACCGACCCGUCGAUUUGGUUUAAUUCUUAACCUGACUUUCUCAAAAUAAUCGAUUUAGUAUUUAUGGCUCAGUUGGUUUUAUUUUAUUUGGAUAAAUGAGAUUUUGUGAAUGUAAUAAAGAACUGAUGAUUUUUCUGAGAUGAAAAUGGUUUUCUAUCCCUCGUGGUAGCGUACUUCAAAAGAAAAGGUUUUCAUGUGGGAAAUAGUUUUAAAAAGAGUUUUCUGGUUUUCGUGAUUCUUAGUAUUUUAAAUAAGCUUCCUAGUAGAAAACGUUUUAAACUAAUAGAUGUGGAUUUAUAAAUAUCUGUGAUGAAAUGAAUGGUGAAACUGAAUGGUGUUUGUAUGUGGAUGUUCAUACUUGUGGUUGUAUCUUGUAUUUGUGCAAUGCCGUGCAAAUACAAGGGAGAUUUUGUUCGUGUGAAUAGUGGAUUUCCUAUAUUUGUGGCGGAUCUGACACGCUCUGGGGUUAAGGUUUUCAAAAAAAAAAAAAAUGGGCACUUCCGCAUNACUUAAUACGUAAAGUUAAAUUUAUCUUCUAUCUAACGUAAUACCAGCAAAUCACGUAAUAUGUAAAAGUAAAUUUAUCUAUUAUCUAUGCGUUUUCUCAAAUAUUUCCUUUCUAAAACGUAAUAACCAUCCAUCAUGCAUUAUUCAAAAUUAAAUUUUAAAUUUUAAGUUAAGUAUGAAUUAAAUUUACUAUCUAUGCUAUCUACGUGUUUUUUUCAAAUAUUUCCUUUCAUAAUACCCGCGAAUCACGUAGUAUUCAAAAUUAAAUUUUAAAUUUUAUUUUAAAUUUCGAAUUAUGUAUAUAUUAAAUUUACUAUCUACACGUUUUCGUCAAUCACAUAAUACAUAAGCAAUUUACGCAUUUUUUCAAAAAUUUUUUUCUCAAAUGUAAUAACCGCCAAACACUUAGUACUUAAAAAUUAAAUUUUAAAUUUUGAAUCCUUUCUCACGUAAUGCAUGUCAAAAUUUAAUACCCGUCAAUCUGAUAAUUUAAAAGUUAAUUCAUUAUAGUAGAUUUUCUUACGUGAUAUAGUAAAUUUAAUUUUUGGGUAUAAAAUUUUGGCGUGCUAUAAAAGCGUACAAUAUUACUAAAAAAAUUUCAUACUCCUCCAAUCAAAUCUAAAUUAUUAAUUAAAUAUAGUUUUUGAAAUUUUUUAACAAAAUAUUCAAUAUUUAAGUAAACCCGUCAAAAUAUAGAGCAUAUUUUAAUACUAUCUGUGACGCCCCAACUUCCCAAGGAGCCAUCCAUCCUAGUACUACUCCCGUCCUAAUCUCUUGGGCCUUGCAACCACCCAAAAUGUUUAAGCCAGUUAAGAGUUUGUCCUAUUGUAUUUUAUAUAUAGGACUCAGGUUCAGACUCACAAGUAUCAAGCGAUGUGAGAUUCGUUUCCCUAGCCUUGUCAUUCUGACCCUGGCUCAACUGAGACUCAUCUUACACUUCCGGCUGGUAAUUCGCUCUGAUACCAACUGUGACGCUCCAACUUCUCAGGGGUCACCCAUCCUAGGACUAUACAUGUUCUAAUACGCUUAACUCUCUUAACCUCUUGGGUCUUACAACUAUCCAAAAUGUUUAAGCCAGGUUAAGAAUUUUUAUAUAUAGGACUUCCUGGGGUCUCACAAUAUCUUUAUAAUCCAAUCUUAUCUUACCAUAAUACUUAUUACACAUACAACAUUUUUUUUUUUCAGUAUUUCCUCACUUUAAUAGCAUCCUUUUUUAUUUUUACUUGUAUUUUUCUCAAAUAUUUUCAAUAUAUAUAUAUAUAAACUAUUCAUCAGCCAAAAUAAGAAGGGUAAGAAAAGUAAACCCGAAUUAACCCGGGUCGAGAUAGCUCUAUCGACCGUACAUCGCGUACCUCACGUCUCGUCCCACUACCAUCGCCACGACUACCUGAAAAAUGUGGAGGAAGAACAUGUAAAAUGUCUCUGCACCUCCCAGUGGGUACCCGCAAAGCCGAAGAAGGCGAGGAGUAUCACCGGAUCAACAGGAAGAGAUACGGCAACAGUAAGGUAAGUAAAACCCCAGUAGCACACGAUAAUGAAGCGAAUGAGAUAAUAUAUACUAUGAAAACACAACUACCGCACUGUAAUGUACAACUGCAAGCAUACAAGGGAUAUCAAAACUAUGUAGCAAGACAACGUAAAGAAGAACUAGAAAAUACAUAGCAACAACCGCUACUAUAGCUAUAAUGCGUCAACACGACGAGAAGUCAAAAGUACCAAUCAAACCGGCGUGUCGGUAAAGGCACCUUCAAGGCAAAAGCCACCUAUCUGCUCACGACACUGGCAUGUAACCCUAGGCACAAAGAGAAGCUACGCGGCUGGGCUCACGGGUCGGAUGUACGACCACCUUUCCGGAACAGAACUACCUCCUGCGGGGGAUCAACCCGCUGGUGUACGUGACAAUGCAGGACUCGAGUGUGGCGGAUCCAAUGCGGAUAUGAUCAAUAGAACUCGUCGCAAUCAGCCAACAAUCACUGCCCUCUGGCAUACCGAGCCGUGUAGGUCAUCAAGUAACAACUGUGAACCGAACCGAGAUAGGUCAAAGUAACGGAAAGUAAACGAAGCGACCAAACAGGUCACUGCGAUCAAAUAUGAGAACGCGACCAACCAAGGUCAGCAAAGUAAUAGUAUACGAAUGUCGUCUACUCUACCCCUAUACAGGAACUACACAUAGAACAACUAGGCAGAGUAAAUAAAGAUGGUAUGGUAGAUACUGCUCGAUUGUCAACGUAAAAGUAGGAACGCAAGAACCGACCGAUAGGUCACAGAGUGUAUUGCCAUAUAGUACAGAACUUCACUACCGUCAGCACCAGCCGACAUCCUACCCCUCAGGGUACACCGACCUCAAGCGUCAUCGAACGACAGGUCAAGAAAUAGACCCAAUCCCACUAUCAUAAUGCAACAACCGACCAACCAGGUCAAACAAGAUAUACAGAUAAAAGCACCGAUCAACUAGGCACAGCGAAACGAAUACGAGAACCGACCAAUCAGGUCCUCGGGAUCACGUAUGGAUAAACUACUCUACUCCAUACACAUAUACUAAGCAAGGAAACAUAUGAUGUAGAAGGUAUAAUUAAAAAACAACGGGGAUGCAAGCUCAUAUAUAUUAUCAAGAAAUAUAUAUAUGCCAGAAUAAUAACGAGAAGAACAGGUAGGUAAGAAACCAUCACCGAGCGUGCACACACUGUACCGACGUCGGAUUCGAAGUACCCUCCACACUUGUAACGAAUGCUGGCCCUGGUCUCCUGACUCGGCGAUAAGAGCGUCGACCGACCUAAGGAGACCGGGUUUUAGGUUGUCUAAUCCCAACACUAAAUAAGCCACUAAAUCCACAACCUACAAGCAACCCUUGGGGACCCGGUUUCCCAAACGCAGAUCGUGCGUAAUACCCGGAAAGUCCCCGUAAUCGGACGAGGGACUCCGCGGAACCGUGCACGAAUGUCCGGAACAUACCCGACUGAGCUACGAGUCCACAUGCUGCCACUAAACAUAGAUACCGUGCAUCAUGACAGCAAAAACACUCCUCGUGCGACAAUUAUCGUCGAUAAUCGUUGUCGAUUCGGUUCCCGGAAGUGUCUAAUUCGACACCAGGGAACUACGCGUCGCUCACGGUUACCGCCAUUUUCGAACCCUCAAGAUGAUGCGAGUUGACCAGCCAACAGAGGCUCACAACAAAAACAUUCACUCGGAGCAACCAAAACACCGGUCGGAUAAAAUUCGAACGGCGAAAUCGGUUCUUUCGGCGAAUUUCGCGAACGCAACCGAAAUACCUUUUCGAUUUCCGGCGGGAAGCUAACGGAUCAUGGACAAUGCAGUCCAAGAGGUCAAAAACACUCACGGCCACUGCCCACAGUAGCCACACGAUGCAUAAUUGCAUAAAAGCCCCUCAUUUACAUAAAAUUCUAGUUCAUUUAUGUAAUUUGAGGCGAUCAAGCGACUCGUCACGGCAACCGAGGACUUCCAACAGUCCGGCAAUGAGACACGUACUGACAAGGUCUCAAACGUAACCGGAGUCCGUGGCUCACGACCGGAGCACACGGCGCUCGCGUUGUUGGGAACGCGGAGCAAACCCGAAGGCAGCCGAACAGCGCGGCAUCAAGGAAGAUCGCGCCCGAACAGGACAACCGGACACUUCUGAUCCAAGAAGGUGAGCAUUGUGAUCAGCACUGACCAGCGGUCACCAAUGCUCACCGCCGGAGGCAUCGUAACAGCCUCGAUCGCCGGAAAAACAAGCAAACCUGAAACAUUGCAGCCAAAAAGGCUGAAACGAUGACGUCGUCAACAAACAUACAACCGGAACGGGACCUUCCGAUCAGAAUCCAAGGUGAGCACCGAUGAUGCAGAAACAUUACCAAGGCUCAUCGUGCCUCCCUUCCGUAGAGAUCGGAAGCUUCGGAAGCCCAGAACAAGAAAACCCACUCACUAACCUAUUUCGGGCUUGGCCGGAGCAAACCUGCCCGGCCCGGCCUCCGGCGAGCACGAGCGACGCGCGGGCCCUGAGUCCGGGUGCGGGGGAGGUGGGACUCAGUGCUCAGCCUCGGUGCGACGAGAACGGCGGCGCGUCGCGGGCCAACCUCGGCCCGCACAGUAGGACACGGAUUCCAAAGGGAGCUCGGCCACGCGGCAGGCCGGGGUAUGGUCGGAUGACGACGGCAGGUCUCCCAGAGGCCAGAGCCAGGAGGAGGAGCGGCCUCAUCGAGUGGCGGUCGCGUCGGAGAAGACCGCAACAAGCCCGCCAUGGGCUCGGCUAAGGCGGGCCCGGCCUGGCCAGCGGCGACGGCAGCGCACGGGGCGGCGGCGGACCGACGGGAAGGGAUGGCCCGGGCACGGAGGAGUCGGCGGGAGGGAUCCAAGGUGUGGGCGCGGCGCUGGCGGCAGUGGCAACCCCGGCACGGCCAGGCUCGGCCUGGGCUGGCAGAUGUGGCCCGGGGCCCCACCAGCGGCGGGGCGGCAACGGCGACGGUCGAGAGACAUAUCGCCGGAAACGGUGGCCGACAACGCCAUGAGGAGGGUCAAAGGUAGCGGUGUUAUGACUCAGGCUCCUCCCAACCCAGGGAGAGAGGAGUGAAGGAAGAGAGGAGGAGAUAGAGAGAAGGAUGGAGCAGCCAGUCCGCGGCCGGCGGCGUGCUCAGUCAUCAGUGACGUGGGCUCGCGCAGGAGGUAGGGGAACGGUGGGGGGGCGGCUAGGGGCUAGGGCAAAGCUAGGGUUAGUUAGUGACUCCAACCUAGAUAACUAUAAUACUAGGUGCAACUUGCAGAAACCCUCAAACUCUGAAAUUGAAUCCGAGUCCCUCACGGUACGACUAAAACGCAAGAACGCCUCCACGUGCGAUUCACGAGAAACGGACAUAAAAUGUCGGCGACUUUUGCGAAAUUACCGUUUGCCAUCACACCGACUCUCCUCGAUUCAACGCCGGAUCUCCGCAGAUCGUCCGUCAGGAUUUGCGAACGGAUGCACAGUGCGAUCAGCACUCGGUCGAGACAACAAGCUACACUUUCGAUUCAUCUCGAUCGACCACGGAUUCACAACAAAAUCCAACCUUCUUACAUAGAAGGAAACAUACACACAAAUACAAUACAAACAUGUAUUUUUGGAUUUUAUCGAAAUCGUGCGUCAAACUCAAAAUCCAUCAGCGCCAUUAGUUCCAGAAUAGCUGAACCGGUCGAACGAGCUAUUGGAACUGAUUGAACGGAGUCCGAAUACGCACCAGAAGCCAACUCUACUCGUGCUUCUCCGGAAAACCAGAGUUACUAUUCACUUAAGUGAAAACUAAAAUCGCGUAUCCUCUCCUUUAGCUCAUUUUCGUCCGAAACUUGACGAGUGCUUAUGUAAUUAAAUUACACACAUAAACAUCAUCAACAGAGAGUUUAGUUGCACUGUCAAAAUCUCAGUCCUUACAUGUUGGCAGCCACGUUUGGGCUGAGGAUAAAUUCUGGACCUGAUCGUCCAAGCACCCAAGCCUUGCGGAAAUCAAAAGUGGUUUUCGGAGCGUUUUUCGGCGAAAUCCGCCGAUAGAAUGCGUUGUAGAUUCAGAAUUCAUCCGACGAUACCUGUGGUUGAUUGUAGCGUCGCUGAGCCUUGUAGGCUGGUCACCGUGCCGUUUCGAGGGUUUGGAAACGACGGUGAGCGACGGGGGAGUUUGGUGCGGUUUUCGGGACUUCCGGUUUGUUCGGUAAUCGGCUUUGGGAAACCGGUUUCUCGUGGUUUUGGUGAGUGGGGAUUGUGAGAUUAGCGUUACAUUGUCAGUGGGUUAGAUCUUAACCCGUUGGACCUUUCGUAGGUUCGAUUGUUCUGUCUUCACAGUCGAGAGAUCUCGUCAGACACGUACAGGUGGUACUUCGAUCCGACGUUUACAGUGGUGCCACGUUCGGUGAUGGUUCUUACCCUUGCCCUCUUACUAUAUCUGUGUGCUAUACAUAUUGAGCCUUGCACCCAUAUUAUUUUCGUAUUUACUCUAGACUGUUUUUCAUGUUUAUACUUGUGUAGGAGUAGAGCAGAUUUCAUCAGCAUAUGAUAUACUUCGUGACAUGAUUGGUCGAGUUCGCAUCCUAUAUCUGUGACACUGAUGGUCGAGUUCAUAUCCUAUACUUGUGAUAUGAUUGGUCGAGUUCACAUCCUAUAUCUGUUACAUGAUUGGUCGACGUUCAUAUCCUAUACUUAUGACAUGAUUGGUCGACUUCAUAUCCUAUAUCUGUGACAUGAUUGGCCGAUGUUCACAUCCUAUAUCUGUGACAUGAUUGUGUCGAGUUCAUAUCCUAUACUUGUGACAUGAUUGGUCGAGUUUCAUAUCCUAUAUCUGUGACAUGAUUGGUCGAGUUCAUAUCACUAUACUUGUGACAUGAUUGGUCGAAGUUUCAUAUCCUAUACUUAUGACCUAUUCGGUCGAGUUGCUACAGUUCUAUUUGACAUACGUACCAACUAGUUCGCGAUGGCCUAUACGGUCGGUGUGCCCUGAGGGGCUGGAUUGGUCGGCUAGUUGCCGAUGGAAUCUCUUGAGCAAUCUACAUUGAUCGCCACUACAGGUACGCAUUUCACGAACACAGCGAUCUGAUCUCACCGCAAGAGGGUGUUCUUUUCACAGAAAAGUGUUAUGAUUGCCAACCCGUGAGCCAGGGGCUUUUAUUGCGAGAGUAUAUGCUUCUGACCCAGGGGCUUCAUUGCGAGGGUCAGGUCAGGUAUUAGCAGUGUGGCAUGGGCCUGAGGUCUUCGGACCAAUAGGGCACGAGAUUGGUACUUUGAGGUUAUCGUCAGUUGACGCAUAUGUCUAUAGUAGCAGUCGUUGCAUGCAUAUUUACAGUUCUUACUUUAUAGUUGUCUUGCUACUAUAGUAGAUAUUCAUGUAUGCUUUCGAUUUCAGUUACAGUAGCGGUAGCCGUUAUUCAGUCUAGUUCUU